rnacentral:tRNA from 1 species
UGCACUCCAGUGUUAGAGCACUAAAAGUUUUGAUCUUUUAAGAGUUGAUAAAAUCAUCGAGAGCAA